rnacentral:rRNA from 1 species
UAGGGAAUCUUCCACAAUGGACGAAAGUCUGAUGGAGCAACGCCGCGUGAGUGAAGAAGGUUUCCGGAUCGUAAAGCUCUGUUGUUGGUGAAGAAGGAUAGAGGCAGUAACUGGUCUUUAUUUGACGGUAAUCAACCAGAAAGUCACGGCUAACUACGUGCUAG